rnacentral:rRNA from 1 species
AGCAGCCGCCACGGUAAUACAGAGGGUGCGAGCGUUAAUCGGAUUUACUGGGCGUAAAGCGUGCGUAGGCGGCUUUUUAAGUCGGAUGUGAAAUCCCUGAGCUUAACUUAGGAAUUGCAUUCGAUACUGGGAAGCUAGAGUAUGGGAGAGGAUGGUAGAAUUCCAGGUGUAGCGGUGAAAUGCGUAGAGAUCUGGAGGAAUACCGAUGGCGAAGGCAGCCAUCUGGCCUAAUACUGACGCUGAGGUACGAAAGCAUGGGGAGCAAACAGGAUUAGAUACCCCCGUAGUCCCUGUCUCUUAUAU